UGAGCAUCGGUGAUGAGUACUCAAAUUCGUUAUCCUUGCACUUUGAUUGUCAGUGAAGAAACUCAUGGGGAAAUUUGUUCUCUGAGAUGCUC
rnacentral:snoRNA from 1 species